GCAAAACGCGAAGAACCUUACCUGGGUUUGACAUGUAGGGAAAAGCUCUAGAGAUAGGGUGUCCUUCGGGCCGUUACACAGGUGGUGCAUGGCUGUCGUCAGUUCGUGUCGUGAGAUGUUGGGUUAAGUCCCGCAACGAGCGCAACCCUUAUCCUAUGUUGCCAGCGCGUAAUGGCGGGGACUCGUAGGAGACUGCCGGGGUCAACUCGGAGGAAGGUGGGGAUGAGGUCAAGUCAUCAUGCCCCUUAUGCCCAGGGCUGCAAACACGCUACAAUGGCCGGUACAGAGGGCUGCGAACUCGCGAGAGCAAGCGAAUCCCACAAAGCCGGUCUCAGUUCGGAUUGGAGUCUGCAACUCGACUCCAUGAAGCCGGAGUUGCUAGUAAUCCUGGAUCAGCACGCCAGGGUGAAUACGUUCCCGGGUCUUGUACACACCG
rnacentral:rRNA from 1 species